rnacentral:rRNA from 1 species
AUUGAACGCUGGCGGCAGGCCUAACACAUGCAAGUCGAACGAGUGGCGGACGGGUGAGUAAUGUCUGGGAAACUGCCCGAUGGAGGGGGAUAACCACUGGAAACGGUAGAUAAUACCGCAUACCAUUGGAUGCGCCCAGAUGGGAUUAGCUAGUAGGUGAGGUAAUGGUUCACCUAGGCGACGAUCCCUAGCUGGUCUGAGAGGAUGACCAGCCACACUGGAACGGAGACACGGACCAGACUCCUACGGGAGGCAGCAGUGGGGAAUAUUGCACAAUGGGCGCAAGCCUGAUGCAGCCAUGCCGCGUGUAUGAAGAAGGCCUUCGGGUUGUAAAGUACUGUCAGCGGGGAGGCGUUACUCGCAGAAGAAGCACCGGCUAACUCCGUGCCAGCAGCCGCGGUAAUUC